UUCUCUCCUUUCUUCACUUCCUAUUGCUUCUCUCCUACCUCAAUUAUGGUACCAUUUUUUGUAAUUAAUUAAUUGCUCAAUAUUUGAAUCUCAAACUAUUUUUGCAUAAAAAAUUCUAACUUCAAUAUUUUUUAUAAAUUUAGAUAUUGAUCUUUUCCAACAAUAUUUUAUCAAUGGUACGUAGGUGGUAGAUGGUAGAUACUUUAUAUUUUCACUUUAUUAUUAUUAUGUACAGAUGUAUUUUUUUUUAAUGUUUUGUUAUUUUUUCUUAGAAAUCCAUCGGCGUUCCACUACGUUGAUUAAUCAACUGUUUGGUGUUGCCUUUCUUUGGAUCUCCGGAAUCCAUCAGCGAUCUACUACGUUAAUUGAUCUCCUGUUUGGCGUUGCAUUCUUUCAGACCUCCGAUAUGAAAUUACUAUGGUCGCAGACGGACAGCUCUGUUCUUUUGUUGAUGUGGAGGUUCCUAGGGAUAGCAGAUUUAUGGAAAUAAUUAUAUGUUG